UUUUAGGUAGCUCAGUGGUUAAGACGUUGGACUACUACACGGAAGGUCGUGAGUUCAAAUCCCACCACAGGGC